rnacentral:rRNA from 1 species
GAUGAACGCUGGCGGCGUGCCUAAUACAUGCAAGUCGAGCGACCGGACGAGAACCUUGCUUCUGUGAUGUUAGCGGCGGACGUGUGAGUUACAUGUGGACAACCUCCCUAUAAGACUGUGACAACUUCGGGAAACCGUUGCUACUACCUAAUAAUAUCUGGAACAACAUGGUUCACAAGUGAAAGACGGUCAUGCGGUCACUCGUAGAUUGAUCCGCGCUGGAUUAGCUAGUUGGUAAGGUAACGGCUUACCAAGUCAACGAUGAGUAGCCGACCUGAGAGGGUGAUCGGCCACACUGGAACUGAGACACGGCCCAGACUCCUACGGGAGGCAGCAGUGGGGAAUCUUCCGCAAUGGGCGAAAGCCUGAUGGAGCAACGCCGCGUGAGUGAUGAAGGUCUUCGGAUCGUAAAACUCUGUUAUCAGGGAAGAAAACAUGUGUAAGAAACCGUGCACAGGUUGACGGUACCUAAUCAGAAAGCCCCGGCUAACUACGUG